GGAAACGAGUUAGAAUUUUGACCCCUGAAGGGUAGAAAUUCAAGCUAUCAGAUGCCAUGACAUACAUUUAGUAAGGUCAUCCAUCACGUGGGGGGCAUCC